rnacentral:rRNA from 1 species
CACGCCGUAAACGUUGGGCACUAGGUGUGGGGCUCUAUCAACGGGCUCCGUGCCGUAGCUAACGCAUUAAGUGCCCCGCCUGGGGAGUACGGCCGCAAGGCUAAAACUCAAAGGAAUUGA